GAGAGGGAGGCCGAGGGAGGCCUGUUAGGAGAUGUCCACAGCCUAGGUGGCGCUGCCCAGGUGGCACUAGUGGUAAAGAAUCCGCCUGCCAAUGCAGGAGAGGCAAGAGAUGCAGGUUCUAUCCCUCGGUCAGGAAGAUCCCCUGGAGUAGGAAGUGGCACCCCAUCUGGUAUCCUUGCCUGGAGAAUUGCAUGCAAGAGGAGCCUGGCAGGCUACAGUCCAUGGGGCUGCAAAGAGUCAGACACAACUAAGCAUCACACACAGCUCAGUUGAGAGCUUCAGACACAAGCAAUUUAUUUUCCUUCAUCUUGAAGCUUGCCUACCUACUCUGGGGCAGUGCCCUCAUGGACACACCACUUGGAAUAAACUUGUUGGAGAGGACUGUAGGACCUCACAGCCUGUGUGCUUACCUGUACCUGUGGUUGUUCAGGACACACUUCGAAAGAGGUGUUCACAUUCCAGAGAGAAAACUUCCUCUCCUCAGUCUGACAUUUUCCAACGUGUUGAUACAUACCCAAUGGAGUGAUUCUACAGAAGAGGGUGCCACUCACAGCUCUGACCUGAAUGAAGUGGCUCCCCGAAUUGUAUUAAUGUCCUAAUGAAUAUACUCAAGUUAACGGUGUCAGAGUCUUGCUACGCACACCUGCAGCUGAGAGGACAGUAUGGGUCUGGAGUGAGUCUGAAUUUUCCUUCCACAAAAAUAAUUUUGGCAGAUGGUGAUCAAUAUCUUCCUCCCAUAUGUUUUAAAUUCUCUAUAAAGGAUAAUUGAAGACACCCAUCUCAGCAGUGCUGUUCGAUGUGAAUGCCUUCAGCAAUUCUAAAAAGGUAAUUUGGAAAAGGAAGGAGACUGACAUUUGGCUCAUGUAUACUAUGAUCAAGUCUGUGUUAUGCACCU
rnacentral:lncRNA from 1 species